rnacentral:rRNA from 1 species
UUGCUCUUCAACGAGGAAUACUUAGUAAGCGUGAGUCAUCAGCUCGCGUUGAUUACGUCCCUGCCCUUUGUACACACCGCCCGUCGCUACUACCGAUUGAAUGGCUUAGUGAGGUCUUCGGAUCGGCUUUGGGGAGCCGGCAACGGCACCUCAUUGCUGAGAAGUUGAUCAAACUUGGUCAUUUAGAGGAAGUAAAAGUCGUAACAAGGUUUCCGUAGGUGAACCUGCGGAAGGAUCAUUAACGAAUCAAACAAGUUCAUCUUGUUCUGAUCCUGUGCACCUUAUGUAGUCCUCUAAAGCCUUCACGGGCGGCGGUUGACUACGUCUACCUCACACCUUAAAGUAUGUUAACGAAUGUAAUCAUGGUCUUGACAGACCCUAAAAAGUUAAUACAACUUUCGACAACGGAUCUCUUGGCUCUCGCAUCGAUGAAGAACGCAGCGAAAUGCGAUAAGUAAUGUGAAUUGCAGAAUUCAGUGAAUCAUCGAAUCUUUGAACGCACCUUGCGCCCUUUGGUAUUCCGAGGGGCAUGCCUGUUUGAGUGUCAUUAAAUACCAUCAACCCUCUUUUGACUUCGGUCUCGAGAGUGGCUUGGAAGUGGAGGUCUUGCUGGAGCCUAACGGAGCCAGCUCCUCUUAAAUGCAUUAGCGGAUUUCCCUUGCGGGAUCGCGUCUCCGAUGUGAUAAUUUCUACGUCGUUGACCAUCUCGGGGCUGACCUAGUCAGUUUCAAUAGGAGUCUGCUUCUAACUGUCUCUUGACUGAGACUAGCGACUUGUGCGCUAACUUUUGACUUGACCUCAAAUCAGGUAGGACUACCCGCUGAACUUAAGCAUAUCAAUAAGCGGAGGA